GUACACUCCUGCGGGAGGCAGCAGUGGGGAAUUUUGGACAAUGGGCGAAAGCCUGAUCCAGCCAUGCCGCGUGCAGGAUGAAGGCCUUCGGGUUGUAAACUGCUUUUGUACGGAACGAAACGGCCUUUUCUAAUAAAGAGGGCUAAUGACGGUACCGUAAGAAUAAGCACCGGCUAACUACGUGCCAGCAGCCGCGGUAAUACGUAGGGUGCAAGCGUUAAUCGGAAUUACUGGGCGUAAAGCGUGCGCAGGCGGUUAUGUAAGACAGUUGUGAAAUCCCCGGGCUCAACCUGGGAACUGCAUCUGUGACUGCAUAGCUAGAGUACGGUAGAGGGGGAUGGAAUUCCGCGUGUAGCAGUGAAAUGCGUAGAUAUGCGGAGGAACACCGAUGGCGAAGGCAAUCCCCUGGACCUGUACUGACGCUCAUGCACGAAAGCGUGGGGAGCAAACAGGAUUAGAUACCCUGGUAGUCCCAUGA
rnacentral:rRNA from 1 species